AUAUGGUCCGUGCAGCCAACCUUAACGCAAACGGUUCAUAGCAGGUUCAUAUGAUUAGGAAACUCCAGCUGGGUGGAUGAGCCCCCUUUUUUUUUCUUAAAAAAAAAAAAGCAUGAGUGGGGAUGUGUGCGGGAUUUCAGCAGACAUGGAUGGACAGAUUUUACAGGCCGUGUGCGACGAGGACACCAUGUCUUCUUCCUCAGUGGGGGUGUCAGAUUUGUCCGAUGAGAUCCUGCUGUGCAUCCUCCGCCACGUUCCAGUGUGUGACCUGCUGCUGAACGUGGCAAACACCUGCCAGAAGCUGCACACACUGUGCCACGACAAGACCCUGCUCACAAAUGUCAGCCUGUCUGAGGAAUACCGGGCUGAUGACACAUUGGUUCGGCGCAUGCUGAAGCAGCUGGCUAAUCACGUGCAGUCUCUCAGUCUGAAUGGUUGCUACUGGCUGUCUGCCUCUACCAUGGAGUACAUUGCACGAUGCAGAGGGGUGACACAACUAGAUGUCACCGGGUGUCGUCUCACUUCCCUUCGUCUGUCCCGUCUGCUCUCCUCCCUGUCUUUGCUCAGAUCUCUCGCUUUUGAUGUGACGCCGGGCUUCAACUCUGCUCAGCUCAGUUCAGAGGCGGUGGAUUCGCUGAGCCGCCUGUCAGAGCUUAGACAGACGCUGUUGACACCAAGCUACGGUGUAGUGCCGUGCUGUGCCCAACUUCGCAAGCUGAUGUUGCAGUUUGACAUCCCAGAUGUGACCAGAGAGGGUGUCGGUGUUUGCUGUCAGUUAAUGGUUGGUCAGAGCAGUGUGCCACAUUACAAACAGCUGGAGGAGUUCACUGCCAGGCUGGCUCCAGGAGAGGUAAACCAGACCUUGCUCCUUCUCUACUUGGCAGUGUUCAGUGUCCACGUUCCGAAGCGUCUCAGAGUUUUCCUCGUGUCCGUCCCCGGCCCAAACCCAGCUCACUGGCCUGCUGCUCCUUCACUGGCUCAGAGCUUGGGUCAGCGGGGUGACCUGGUGGCGCUGCAGCUCCCUCGGUCAUGGUUGGACUCUGCGUCGCUGAAGCAAGCUCUGGAGGGAAAUAGCCCCAAACACCUCAGCUUCAGCCGCUGCCCGGCGCUGUGGCCGCAGGUGUUCCAGUCGCUGCUGAAUGGGGGGGUCAAAGAUGCCGCGCAGCUGGUCAGCCUGAAUCUGAGUGGGAUCAACCACGCUCCUUACUCGGAGUGCAGGAUUUCGGAAGAUCAGCUGGUUUCUGGGACUAUGAGCCAGUUGGCAGACAGCUGCUCCAACAUUAAAUACCUGAACUUGAUGCACACACACUAUCAUCAUGAAAACUCAGCUGGGCUGGAAGGGGAAACCCACCUGUGUGCCAGCUUAGCCCGAUUCAAGCACCUGCGUUCCCUCACUCUCCCUGCCUGCGCCCUGUCAGAUGGCUUAAACACACGUAACACGUCAACACAGAACACCCAUCCGUCUCCUUUGUUCCAGGGGUUGAAAAAAGUUCAACGCAUGGGCCUCCAGAAUUACAGGCCUGAUUCAGAGUCUUCAGUGUCAGGGGACAGCACAUCAGGGCUUGCUUUGCUCUUAGCUGGCUGCCCUUUUUUAGAGACCUUCGAGCUCAUUGGUCCGGGUUUCGCCUCCACGCUACCUCGGCUUGAGCCCUGCACUCGUGCAAGCGUGGAGCCUCGUGGUAUGUGCGCUUGGGCUCGAGGAGUUGGAGAUGCACACUUGGCGGCACUUGAGGCUUUGCCUCGAUUGCGUCGCCUGACGCUUGCUGGACUUCCUGGAGUUCUUAGGGGGACGGGACUAAUACAGCUGGCAAAGCAGUGCAGAGACCUGCGUGUGUUAUCCCUCGCCAAUUUGGGUUCACUGAAAACCAUGAACUAUACCGCUGCCUUGCUGGACACACUUAAACAGUGCACACAGCUACAGGAACUCAGGUUGGAGCAGCCCUACCUGAGUGCCAACGCGUCGUUCUUUGAGGCUCUGUCCUGCUGCUCUCGUCUGCAGCGUGUCUGCCUUAUCUCCCGCUGCGGCACCUUUGACCCGUCAGCCACAGAAACCUUCAUGGAGCGAUGCUGCCACGUCGUCAUGUGCCACAUGUUCAUGGGCGGCACCUUGGUGGCAUGUCGGACGCUGCAGAAAGCUCUGCUGGACAGAUUUUCAGCGGAGCGCUCAGCUCUCAGUGUGGUCAUCUAUCCGUUACAGCAUGAAGACCUGCCCUCAGUCAUCAGAGAUAUCCCGUUAACGCUGCUGGAUCGGAUCACUUUGUUUCAGAGCCACGUGGCUCAACCACCACAUUUAUCACCAUUGUGACCUCACCAGGAUGUUUCAGUGUGAUUGGUGCUCAGCAGCUGAGGUGAUCAGCUGUUUCAGGCCGCUCUCCAGCAGUACAUCAGUCACGACUGUUUACAUUUACAGCAGUGUUCAUCAUUGAAGGGAAAUGGAUUCACUCAGGCUGACACUUAGUUCCAGGGUGUUUGAGAUGUGGCUCUCUCUCUAUCACUGAUCAUUUCAAUUUCUUUAAAAAUGAAGUGCCAAAAUGAAUUUUAGGAUGCAUUUGUAUUUUAAACUUUGUACCAAAUAUCGUAUUAAAAUCCAUAUAAAUUAUUUUUAA